AGCGCUCCUUCCUCAGAAGGACCACAGCAAGACCUGUCUCAAUCACCCAGAUGCCAGUUCAGAUCAACCCUGCUGUGCCUGGAAAUCCUGUUGGGUAAAUCUGAGUGACGCAUGAGUUUGAAUAGCUUACAGUAGAUACUUUCAAGAGAUCUUCUCUUCUCUGCAAUAAAUUUCAUUUUUUAUUUAGAAUAUUACAGGCUUAUUGUAAACUAUAAUGCUUAGCUUUAAACUGACAAAUUGUCACCAUUUGUAACAAAUGUUACAUGAAAUGUACCGAAUACUGAAUAAAAGCAAUUGAUUUUGUUGCAGUUGUGAGUAUUUUCUCCUUUGAUUUCACCCUCUUAAUCAUAUAUUAUAUUGCACUCACUC